rnacentral:rRNA from 1 species
UACGAAGGAUCCAAGCGUUGUCCGGAUUUACUGGGUUUAAAGGGUGCGUAGGCGGACUUUUAAGUCAGUGGUGAAAGCUCGCAGCUUAACUGUGAAAUUGCCAUUGAAACUGAAAGUCUCGAGUGUGGUUGAGGUAACUGGAAUAUAUCAUGUAGCGGUGAAAUGCUUAGAUAUGAUAUAGAACACCAAUUGCGAAGGCAGGUUACUGAGCCACAACUGACGCUGAGGCACGAAAGCGUGGGGAUCAAACAGGAUUAGAUACCCUGGUAGUCCACGCCGUAAACGUUGAAUACUCGAUCUUAGCGAUACACAGUUAGGAUCCAAGCGAAAGCGUUAAGUAUUCCACCUGGGAAGUACGUUCGCAAGAAUGAA